rnacentral:rRNA from 1 species
GAUGAACGCUGGCGGCGUGCCUAAUACAUGCAAGUCGAGCGAACGGACGAGAAGCUUGCUUCUCUGAUGUUAGCGGCGGACGGGUGAGUAACACGUGGAUAACCUACCUAUAAGACUGGGAUAACUUCGGGAAACCGGAGCUAAUACCGGAUAAUAUUUUGAACCGCAUGGUUCAAAAGUGAAAGACGGUCUUGCUGUCACUUAUAGAUGGAUCCGCGCUGCAUUAGCUAGUUGGUAAGGUAACGGCUUACCAAGGCAACGAUGCAUACCCGACCUGAGAGGGUGAUCGGCCACACUGGAACUGAGACACGGUCCAGACUCCUACGGGAGGCAGCAGUAGGGAAUCUUCCGCAAUGGGCGAAAGCCUGACGGAGCAACGCCGCGUGAGUGAUGAAGGUCUUCGGAUCGUAAAACUCUGUUAUUAGGGAAGAACAUAUGUGUAAGUAACUGUGCACAUCUUGACGGUACCUAAUCAGAAAGCCACGGCUAACUACGU